CUUCAGCAGCAGGAACAAGGGAGAACCAAAGUGCAAAUGAUGGAGGUGGUUCUGCAAGUUGGUUCUCUUCCAAUUUGUGGGCCUUUGUGGAGUCGAUACCGACCACUCCUGCAUCAGCUUCAGAGAAUGUCAACCGUGCUUUUGUGCGGAUGUCUAGCUUUAGCAGGUUAAGACUAAAUACUCUGAACACCCUUAACACCAAUGUCGCUGUUCGUAAUCUGGAGACCGG
rnacentral:misc_RNA from 1 species